rnacentral:rRNA from 1 species
GGCCAUGCGGCAUCUUACACAUGCAAGUCGAACGAUGAACCGCUUUCGGGCGGGGAUUAGUGGCGAACGGGUGAGUAACACGUGGGCAAUCUGCCCUGCACUCUGGGACAAGCCCUGGAAACGGGGUCUAAUACCGGAUAUGACUGUCCAUCGCAUGGUGGAUGGUGUAAAGCUCCGGCGGUGCAGGAUGAGCCCGCGGCCUAUCAGCUUGUUGGUGAGGUAGUGGCUCACCAAGGCGACGACGGGUAGCCGGCCUGAGAGGGCGACCGGCCACACUGGGACUGAGACACGGCCCAGACUCCUACGGGAGGCAGCAGUGGGGAAUAUUGCACAAUGGGCGAAAGCCUGAUGCAGCGACGCCGCGUGAGGGAUGACGGCCUUCGGGUUGUAAACCUCUUUCAGCAGGGAAGAAGCGAAAGUGACGGUACCUGCAGAAGAAGCGCCGGCUAACUACGUGCCAGCAGCCGCGGUAAUACGUAGGGCGCAAGCGUUGUCCGGAAUUAUUGGGCGUAAAGAGCUCGUAGGCGGCUUGUCACGUCGGUUGUGAAAGCCCGGGGCUUAACCCCGGGUCUGCAGUCGAUACGGGCAGGCUAGAGUUCGGUAGGGGAGAUCGGAAUUCCUGGUGUAGCGGUGAAAUGCGCAGAUAUCAGGAGGAACACCGGUGGCGAAGGCGGAUCUCUGGGCCGAUACUGACGCUGAGG